GACGAACGCUGGCGGCGUGCUUAACACAUGCAAGUCGAGCGGUAAGGCCCUUUCGGGGGAACACGAGCGGCGAACGGGUGAGUAACACGUGGGUGACCUGCCCUCAGCUCUGGGAUAAGCCUGGGAAACCGGGUCUAAUACCGGAUAUGACUCCAUGACGCAUGUUGUGGGGUGGAAAGCCUUGUGCGGCUGAGGAUGGGCCCGCGGCCUAUCAGCUUGUUGGUGGGGUGAUGGCCUACCAAGGCGACGACGGGUAGCCGGCCUGAGAGGGCGACCGGCCACACUGGGACUGAGACACGGCCCAGACUCCUACGGGAGGCAGCAGUGGGGAAUCUUGCGCAAUGGGCGAAAGCCUGACGCAGCGACGCCGCGUGAGGGAUGACGGCCUG
rnacentral:rRNA from 1 species